GGAAGGAGAGGAGGACCUCCCCUAUCAGUGGACGUGGGGAGGAGCAUGCAUACAGAAAGGGGAGAAACCUGGAUAUCAAGUCCCUCCUGGGAAGUUGAGGCACCGGUUUGAAGCUUAGAGAACAAAGGAGCAAGAAGCAUGUGUUUCCUAUUUUUUUCUAAGGAGGUCUUCGUUUAACAGUGAAGCUAGCAUGAAGAAUGCCAAGCCUCCGUAGAUUCUGGAAGCCUGCAGAGGCUGUUCACACAGAGGAGAAAGAUGUCACUUCAUGGCAACCGGUGAAAAUGAGCACAAUUCACUCUUUAGAUUCUAAAGUUGUUGGCAGUGCUGAAAGUUCAAAAGAUUUAAAUUCUUUUGCAACAUUUAAAUUAAGCUGGAGGUAUUAAGAGCCGCCACUGAUUUUCUCCUGGUUUCAUUUUUAGAGUCCCAUUUCUACAAUCCUACUACAUUGCAUUCAGGCUUUAAAAUUACAGCUCAGCAAUCUAUUUUAAAAAGUAGAAGUUUGGCCGGACGUGAACGGAUGAUUACACUUGAUACAGCUGAUUUCACAACUGUUUUUCUCUACUACUUAAAAAAAAAAUCUUGAACUCUGAACUCUAAUCAAAGAAAAUCAAAAUGUCCA